rnacentral:siRNA from 1 species
UCUCCAACGUAACGGUAAAACUGC